rnacentral:rRNA from 1 species
AUUGAACGCUGGCGGCGUGCCUAAUACAUGCAAGUCGACCUUAGGGGCGAACGGGUGAGUAACACGUGGGUAACCUGCACAUCAGAAGGGGAUAACACUUGGAAACAGGUGCUAAUACCGUAGACGGAUGGAUGGAAGCGCGGUGCAUAAGCUAGUUAGUGGGGGAACGGCUGACAAAGGCCACGAUGCAUAGCUGACCUGAGAGGGGGAUCGUCCACAUUGGGACUGAGACACGGCCCAAACUCCUACGGGAGGCAGCAGUAGGGAAUCUUCGGCAAUGUACGAAAGUCUGACCGAGCAACGCCGCGUGAGUGAAGAAGGUUUUCGGAUCGUAAAACUCUGUUGGUAGAGAAGCGGUAUCUAACCAGAAAGCCACGGCUAACUACGUGCCAGCCGCCGCGGUAAUAC